UACUACUGAGAUUCUCUAGAAUCUUACCCCUUCUUCCAUGUAAUACAACAAAAGCAAGUACUCCUAAGGGCAAGAGAGUAGUGAUUGGUGGAGUUUGAAGGUGCAGGAAGUUGAAGAUUUGUAUAUAUAU